rnacentral:tRNA from 1 species
GGCUCCAUAGUGUAGUGGUUAGCACGUCUGCUUUAUAUGCAGAAGGGCCUGAUGUAGUGGUUAGCACGUCUGCUUUAUACGCAGAAGGGUCUGGGUUCACCCCCCAGGUGGAACCA